UAAGUACUCCCUCUGUCCCAAAAUUCUUGUCUUAGAUUUGUCUAAAUACAGAUGUAUCAAGUCACGUUUUAGUAUUAGAUACAUUCGUAUCUAGACUAAUCUAAGACAAGAAUUUUGGGACGGAGGGAGUAUUAU
rnacentral:pre_miRNA from 1 species